GACGAACGCUGGCGGCGUGCUUAACACAUGCAAGUCGAACGGUGAAGCGCCUUCCUUUUUGGUGGGUGUGGAUGAGUGGCGAACGGGUGAGUAACACGUGAGUAACCUGCCCCCUUCUUCUGGAUAACCGCAUGAAAGUGUGGCUAAUACGGGAUAUUCUGGGUCUGUCGCAUGAUGGGUCUGGGAAAGAUAUUGUUUCGGUGGGGGAUGGGCUCGCGGCCUAUCAGCUUGUUGGGGGGGUGAUGGCCUACCAAGGCGGUGACGGGUAGCCGGCCCGAGAGGGUGGACGGUCACACUGGGACUGAGACACGGCCCAGACUCCUACGGGAGGCAGCAGUGGGGAAUAUUGCACAAUGGGCGCAAGCAUGAUGCAGCGACGCCGCGUGAGGGAUGGAGGCCUUCGGGUUGUGAACCUCUUUCGCCAGUGAAGCAGGCCUGCCUCGUUUGUGGGUGGGUUGACGGUAGCUGGAUAAGAAGCGCCGGCUAACUACGUG
rnacentral:rRNA from 1 species